GUAUUGCUGAAGAGUCUCAUACUAAGAGGAAACGGCCGUCCAAUGC
rnacentral:hammerhead_ribozyme from 1 species